rnacentral:rRNA from 1 species
UACGGAAGGCAGCAGGGGGGAAUAUUGCACAAUGGGCGAAAGCCUGAUGCAGCUAUGCCGCGUGUAUGAAGAAGGCCUUAGGGUUGUAAAGUACUUUCAUCGGGGAGGAAAAAACAAAACUAAUAAUUUUAUUCUUGACGUUACCCGAAAAAGAAGCACCGGCUAACUCCGUGCCAGCAGCCGCGGUAAUACGGAGGGUGCUAGCGUUAAUCAGAAUUACUGGGCGUAAAGAGCACGUAGGUGGUUUUUUUAAAGUCAGAUGUGAAAUCCCUGGGCUUAACCUAGGAACUGCAUUUUGAAACUGAAAUACUAGAGUAUCGUAGAGGGAGGUAGAAUUCUAGGUGUAGCGGUGAAAUGCGUAGAUAUCUGGAGGAAUACCUGUGGCGAAAGCGGCCUCCUAAACGAAUACUGACACUGAGGGUGCGAAAGCGUGGGGAGCAAACAGGGAUUAGAUACC